GAAGAGCCAAACAGGACACGGUGUCCAGAGGGGCGUGGAAGUCGCUGCAGCAAACAAGUCCCCAAAUGUCCAAUAAAUAGAUUUGCCACCGCAGAGUCUAUUCUAUUUUGCAGCAGCUCACACCGCCGUUGAUUCGUGUCAGAAGGAAAAAGUCGUUGGUGGAAAACGAAGAUGAGAAAGGAAGACACAGUGAAGCUGAUCAGCGCCGAGGGUUUCGAGUUCGUGAUCGACAAGGAAGCGGCCAUGGUUUCCCAGACCAUCCGCAACAUGCUCACCUCUCCAGGUAGUUUCGCUGAGACGCAGCAUGGAGAAGUGACAUUUCCGGAGAUAAGCACUACUAUUCUAGAGAAAAUUUGCCAGUAUUUCUACUGGUCCCUUCAAUAUGCCAAGGGAAAGGAGAGUGAAUUCCAUAUUGAACCGGAGCUGACCCUGGAACUAAUGAUGGCUGCUAAUUAUCUCCAUACUUAACCAAAUUAUUUUGCUUGCUUCUCGGGUCUUGCAUAAGACUGUAAGCUUAUUGGUAAACAGGAUUGUUUCGCGAGAAGGCUCACAAUCUUAAGAUUUAUACACUCUGGUAUCAUAGAUAGGGAUGUAUUCGUGGGGGGCAUUUUAAGGUCAUUUAUUCUGCCAACUUGUAAUGGCAUUGAAGUAACUUUGAACAGAUUUUGGACUUCAUAGGAUAGAAUGCUGCCUGCGACUUGGCUACUAUCAACUGCACAUAUGUUAAUCUUAACAUAAUGCACUGGGUUAUGUGUUGGUGUC